rnacentral:rRNA from 1 species
GACGAACGCUGGCGGCGUGCUUAACACAUGCAAGUCGAACGAAGAGCGAUGGAAGCUUGCUUCUAUCAAUCUUAGUGGCGAACGGGUGAGUAACGCGUAAUCAACCUGCCCUUCAGAGGGGGACAACAGUUGGAAACGACUGCUAAUACCGCAUACGAUCUGACCUCGGCAUCGAGGAUAGAUGAAAGGUGGCCUCUACAUGUAAGCUAUCACUGAAGGAGGGGAUUGCGUCUGAUUAGCUAGUUGGAGGGGUAACGGCCCACCAAGGCGAUGAUCAGUAGCCGGUCUGAGAGGAUGAACGGCCACAUUGGGACUGAGACACGGCCCAGACUCCUACGGGAGGCAGCAGUGGGGAAUCUUCCGCAAUGGACGAAAGUCUGACGGAGCAACGCCGCGUGAGUGAUGACGGCCUUCGGGUUGUAAAGCUCUGUUAAUCGGGACGAAAGGCCUUUUUGCGAGUAGUGAGAAGGAUUGACGGUACCGGAAUAGAAAGCCACGGCUAACUACGUG